rnacentral:piRNA from 1 species
UUGCAAAGCGUCAAGAACGGUGUGCCU